rnacentral:rRNA from 1 species
UACGAAGGGGGCUAGCGUUGCUCGGAAUCACUGGGCGUAAAGCGCACGUAGGCGGACUCUUAAGUCGGUGGUGAAAUCCUGGAGCUCAACUCCAGAACUGCCUUCGAUACUGAGAGUCUCGAGUCCGGGAGAGGUGAGUGGAACUGCGAGUGUAGAGGUGAAAUUCGUAGAUAUUCGCAAGAACACCAGUGGCGAAGGCGGCUGACUGGCCCGGUUCUGACGCUGAGGCGCGAAAGCGUGGGGAGCA